rnacentral:rRNA from 1 species
CGAUUGGUUCUAUUUUGUUGGUUUCUAGGACCAUCGUAAUGAUUAAUAGGGACGGUCGGGGGCAUCAGUAUUCAGUUGUCAGAGGUGAAAUUCUUGGAUUUACUGAAGACUAACUACUGCGAAAGCAUUUGUCAAGGACGUUUUCAUUAAUCAAGAACGAAAGUUAGGGGAUCGAAGAUGAUCAGAUACCGUCGUAGUCUUAACCAUAAACUAUGCCGACUAGGGAUCGGGCGGUGCCUUUUAUUGGCCCACUCGGCACCUUACGAGAAAUCAAAGUUUUUGGGUUCUGGGGGGAGUAUGGUCGCAAGGCUGAAACUUAAAGGAAUUGACGGAAGGGCACCACCAGGAGUGGAGCCUGCGGCUUAAUUUGACUCAACACGG